AACGAACGCUGGCGGCGUGGAUAAGACAUGCAAGUCGAACGAUGAUUGCGAGGUAGCAAUAUUUCGCAGUCAGAGUGGCGUAAGGGUGCGUAACACGUGGGUUAUUUGCCCUGAAGUGGGGGAUAACUCCGAGAAAUCGGAGCUAAUACCGCAUGUGAUCGAAAGAUCAAAGCUGGGUCGCAAGACCUGGCGCUUCAGGAUAAGCCCGCGACCUAUCAGCUAGUUGGCAGGGUAACGGCCUACCAAGGCGAAGACGGGUAGCUGGUCUGAGAGGACGACCAGCCACACUGGAACUGAGACACGGUCCAGACACCUACGGGUGGCAGCAGUCGAGAAUUUUUCACAAUGGGGGAAACCCUGAUGGAGCGACGCCGCGUGGGGGAUGAAUGGCUUCGGCCCGUAAACCCCUGUCAAUCGGGAGCAAUGCGUCCGACCUAAUACGUCGGACGUUGAUAGUACCGGAAGAGGAAGGGACGGCUAACUCUGUGCCAGCCGCCGCCGUAACAC
rnacentral:rRNA from 1 species